GUAGUACAGAGAGAUGAUGAUGAUCCCCCGAGGGAGGGGAGGGAGGUUGUUGAGGAAGAACCAGUGGCCCAGCUCAAGAAGGAGCCCAAGAAGACAGGAAAGGAUUGAGGAAUAAACACCCGGACAGAGGAUCUGUUAUUGAGCUCUUGGAGAAGAAUGCUCUUAAGGCUGCAUUCGGCCCAGGCAACAAAGAUGAGAUGGAGGACUGCUACCCAAUCCUCAUCUCAUUCAUGCGCAAUCUUACUGAUAGUAUGUUAGAACCAUGUUUUGCUCUAGCCUCACAUAUUUUGUGCAGAAGGAAAUAAAAAGUAAGUAAAACACAUUUCUUUUUUCUUUUCUAGGCAAUGGCAAGUGAUCUAUAAAGGAUUUUAAAAAACCUAUGACAAAGGAACAGCUUGCAAAAUUGUGCAAGACCAUUGUCAACUUCAUUGCACAGACCACCCUGCAGAUCCUGCUGCCGGCCCUGGCCCGCAUUCUAGGGGUGACGGGCUUUUAUGACAACUCUGACUCACUCAAGAGGGGUGGCAGUGCAAGAUCCUUCACUGCCUUUGAGCAAAAAAUACUGGAGCUCAUCCAGGAAGUUAAAUAUUUGGCGAAGUAACUGUGGCGGCAGGGCUCUCCGACCAAGGUCUAGCACACCCUCUUCCAAGAGUUCCCAGACCUCACUGAAAGUCCACCUGGGAAUGCCAGAGGACAGUAUCAUCAGCAGUGUCCAGGAGCAACUGUCAAAAUCUGACCAAAUGGUGGCUGCAGGACAGCUUUCACAAAUAGAUAAAGUGGUUGGAACUAUGCUGGAGAACAUUGAGAAGAUAAGCAGCGAAUGUGGCGAGGAAUUGGUCUAUCAAGAGUCACUGCGGUCUUCCUCCUCGUUGUCAUUCUCAACUGCCAAAUCACAGAAGACAGAGUGGGAAUUUGCACUCCCUGGCACUCCCAUUCCUUCUGAGUUACCCGAGAGUACUGCUCAGCCCAUUGUAAGAUGUUCAGUCAUUGACAUGAGCGAAUCUACUAAGCCAAAAACAAUGGUGUGUGAUGCCAGAACAAGCAUGUUUGCCAUAGCCGAUACCGUCAUGAAGAAGGUAUAUCCAGAGGCAGAAGGGCAGGUUACAUCUCACCCUGAUCUAACAGAUGCAAUAGCUAGACUGGAUGAGCUCAUAUAUCAGGGUAGGAUUGGUGCCCUCUCCCGUGAUCUCAGUCACCAAGUCACCCGCAUAAUUUCUGAUAGCAACUUGACCCCUCUGGGACUGACAGUGGCGGCUGGAAAGAGUGCAUCUGAUAUCAUCCUUUCGAAGCUGAAGAGGAAUGACAAGGUGGGGAAGCCCACAACUUACGAGCUGGUUCAGCUGUUUGUAGAGGAGUCUGUUAAGUGCCUCCUGCUUCCUAGUUUUGUGCCCUAUUCAACUUCAAUGAGUUUGGCUCAGG
rnacentral:lncRNA from 13 species